AGGCAUACUGGCUAGAGUUGAAUGAAGACAUUUUACUAGGUGAUGAAGAUGUCUUCCUCUAGACUUACCUUGGUUGCUUCCCCUUCUUGAUGAAUCUUUUCCUUUAAGUCACUUUAGAACGCUUGGGAGGCAGCAGGAAACCUGCAGGAGAUGAGGAUGUCAUGAGGAUUCAUGUCAGGAUGACACUGUACAUCAACACAGGUGUCCUGCCUCCAGUCUGAAGCUCCUGAGUGGCUGGAGUUGGCUCCUCACUGUUUUACUUCACUGUCAUUUUUUGUGCCCUACACAUUCUCUAUUCCACUCUGGAACAGGGAUUUGAAUCACAAUUUCCCAGAUGCCAGAGUGUGCCUUAGCAACCACCAAAUAGGUUUGCAGUGCUCCUUUCUUGGUUCAGGGACUGUUUUGCUUAUCAGACCAGGCUGAAAUGCCCUGGCAGGUGGAGAGCCUGGCUCUCAGUCCAGGACUGCCUGCUACCAAGUGAUCUGCGCACUCAUCUGGUGAGGAUGUUCUUGCUCUGACUGAGAAGAAUCUGC
rnacentral:lncRNA from 12 species